UACGGAGGGGGCUAGCGUUGUUCGGAAUUACUGGGCGUAAAGCGCGCGUAGGCGGAUCUGCAAGUCGGGGGUGAAAUCCCGAGGCUCAACCUCGGAACUGCCUUCGAUACUGCGGGUCUCGAGUCCGGGAGAGGUGAGUGGAAUUCCUAGUGUAAAGGUGAAAAUUCGUAGAUAUUAGGAAGAACACCAAGUGGCGAAGGCGGCUCACUGGCCCGGUACUGACGCUGAGGCGCGAAAGCGUGGGGAGCGAACGAGGAAUUGAU
rnacentral:rRNA from 1 species